rnacentral:rRNA from 1 species
CAGGACGAACGCUGGCGGCGUGCCUAACACAUGCAAGUCGAGCGAGGAGAUUCCUCGGGAUGAUCCUAGCGGCGGACGGGUGAGUAACACGUGGGCAACCUGCCUCAUAGAGAGGAAUAGCCUUCCGAAAGGGAGAUUAAUACCUCAUAACAUUGCAGUUUCGCAUGGAACAGCAAUUAAAGGAGUAAUCCGCUAUGAGAUGGGCCCGCGGCGCAUUAGCUAGUUGGUGAGGUAACGGCUCACCAAGGCGACGAUGCGUAGCCGACCUGAGAGGGUGAUCGGCCACAUUGGGACUGAGACACGGCCCAGACUCCUACGGGAGGCAGCAGUGGGGAAUAUUGCACAAUGGGGGAAACCCUGAUGCCAGCAACGCCGCGUGAGUGAUGACGGCCUUCGGGUUGUAAAGCUCUGUCUUCAGGGACGAUAAUGACGGUACCUGAGGAGGAAGCCACGGCUAACUACGUGCCAGCCGCCGC